rnacentral:rRNA from 1 species
AUUCCGGUUGAUCCCGGCGGACCCCACUGCUAUCGAGGUGGGACUAAGCCAUGCUAGUCGAACGACCAGAACUAUGUCUGGUAGUGGCAUACUGCUCAGUAACACGUAGCUAACCUACCCUAAGGACGGAGAUAACCCCGGAAACCUGGGGCUAAUCUCCGAUAGGUGUGAUGGCCUGGAAUGGUAUCACGCCCAAAGGUGCUAACAGCAUGUUGUUGUCAUGCCUUAGGAUGGGGCUGCGGCUGAUCAGGCAGUUGGUGAGGUAAAGGCUCACCAAACCUUUGACCAGUACGGGCCAUGAGAGUGGUAGCCCGGAGAUGGGCAYUGAGACAAGGGCCCAGGCCCUACGGGGCGCAGCAGGCGCGAAACCUUCCUCAAUGCACUCAAGUGCGAAGGGGUUACCUCGAGUGCUAUCUGAAGAAGGUGGCUUUUACUUARUUUAACAAGCUAAGUGAAUAAGAGGGGGGCAAGACUGGUGUCAGCCGCCGCGGUAACACCAGCCCCUCGAGUGGUGGGGAUGAUUAUUUGGCCUAAAGCGUCCGUAGCCGGCCCUGUAAGUCCCCCGUUAAAUCCAGCGUCUCAAGCGUUGGACUGCGGGAGAUACUGCAAGGCUAGAGGGUGGGAGAGGUAAGCGGUAUUCUGGGGGUAGGGGCGAAAUCCUUUGAUCCCCGGAGGACCACCAGUGGCGAAGGCUGCUUACUAGAACACGCCUGACGGUCAGGGACGAAAGCUGGGGUAGCGAACCGGAUUAGAUACCCGGGUAGUCCCAGCCGUAAACGAUGCAUGCUAGGUGUUGGGUUGGUCACGAACCACCUCAGUGCCGCAGGGAAGCCGAUAAGCAUGCCGCCUGGGGAGUACGGCCGCAAGGCUGAAACUCAAAGGAAUUGACGGGG